rnacentral:rRNA from 1 species
UCAAGCUACAAAGGGCGCAUGGUGAAUGCCUUGGCAUCAGGAGCCGAUGAAGGACGUGAUAAGCUGCGAUAAGCUUCGGGUAGGCGCACAUAGCCUGAGAUCCGAAGAUUUCCGAAUGAGGAAACUCACAUGGGAAACCCCAUGUAUCAUUAAGUGAAUACAUAGCUUAAUGAAGGUAACCCAGGGAACUGAAACAUCUAAGUACCUGGAGGAAGAGAAAGAAAAAUCGAUUUUCUUAGUAGCGGCGAGCGAAAGGGAAAGAGCCCAAACCGGAAACUUGUUUCCGGGGUUGUGGACAUAACAUAAAAGUGGAGGCUAUUGUAACUGAAGAGAACUGGAAAGUUCCACCGUAGAAGGUAAUAGUCCUGUAAGUGAAACGAGAAGACCACGAGUUAUGAUCCAGAGUACCACGAGACACGUGAAACCUUGUGGGAAGCAGGGAGGACCACCUCCCAAGGCUAAAUACUACCUGAUGACCGAUAGUGAAGCAGUACCGUGAGGGAAAGGUGAAAAGAACCCCGGGAGGGGAGUGAAAUAGAACCUGAAACCGUGUGCCUACAACCGCUCAGAGCCCCUUAUGAGGGUGAUGAGGUGCUUUUUGUAGAACGAGCCAACGAGUUACGGUAUGUAGCAAGGUUAAGUACUUAAGGUACGGAGCCGAAGGGAAACCGAGUCUGAAUAGGGCGACUAGUUGCAUGCCGUAGACCCGAAACCGGGUGACCUAUCCAUGGCCAGGUUGAAGCGAGGGUAAAACCUCGUGGAGGACCGAACCACGUUGCUGUUGAAAAAGCAUGGGAUGAGCUGUGGAUAGCGGAGAAAUUCCAAUCGAACCCGGAGAUAGCUGGUUCUCUCCGAAAUAGCUUUAGGGCUAGCGUCGAGUAUGAGUAGUGGAGGUAGAGCACUGAAUGGGCUAGGGGGCAUAGCGCUUACCGAACCUUAUCAAACUCCGAAUGCCACAUACUUUGAGCUCGGCAGUCAGACUACGAAUGAUAAGAUCCGUGGUCAAAAGGGAAACAGCCCAGAUCGUCAGCUAAGGUCCCAAAGUGUAAGUUAAGUGGGAAAGGAUGUGAGAUUUCUAAGACAACUAGGAUGUUGGCUUAGAAGCAGCCAUUCAUUAAAAGAGUGCGUAAUAGCUCACUAGUCGAGAGAUCUUGCGCCGAAAAUGUAACGGGGCUAAACUUACCACCGAAGCUACGGGCUUGAACUUAGUUCAAGCGGUAGGAGAGCGUCGUAACCGGGCUGAAGUCGUACCGUAAGGAGCGGUGGACUGGUUACGAGUGAGAAUGUUGGCAUCAGUAGCGAGAUGUGGGUGAGAAUCCCACAGGCCGAAAACCUAAGGUUUCCUCAGGAAGGUUCGUCCGCUGAGGGUUAGUCGGGACCUAAGCCGAGGCCGAAAGGCGUAGGUGAUGGACAACUGGUUGAUAUUCCAGUACCACUACCAUCGUUAUUAUCGAUGGCGUGACGCAGGAGGAUAGUGUGUGCUAGCUAUUGGAUGCUAGUCUAAGCGUUUAGGCAGUGAGAGUAGGCAAAUCCGCUCUCAUAAUGCUGAGGCGUGAUGGGGAAGGUUCUACGGAACCGAAGUACAUGAUUCCACGCUGCCAAGAAAAGCGUCUAGAGAGAGAAGUAGUGCCCGUACCGCAAACCGACACAGGUAGGUGAGGAGAGAAUCCUAAGGCCGGCGGAAGAAUUACAGUUAAGGAACUCGGCAAAUUGACCCCGUAAGUUCGCGAGAAGGGGUGCCUACGAGAGUAGGCCGCAGAGAAUAGGCCCAAGCAACUGUUUAGCAAAAACACAGGUCUCUGCUAAAGCGUAAGCUGAUGUAUAGGGGCUGACGCCUGCCCGGUGCUGGAAGGUUAAGGGGAACACUUAGCGCAAGCGAAGGUGUGAACUUAAGCCCCAGUAAACGGCGGCCGUAACUAUAACGGUCCUAAGGUAGCGAAAUUCCUUGUCAGGUAAGUUCUGACCCGCACGAAUGGCGUAAUGACUUGGGCACUGUCUCAACUGUAAAUCCGGCGAAGUUGUAGUGCGAGUGAAGAUGCUCGCUACCCGCGAUUGGACGGAAAGACCCCGUAGAGCUUUACUGUAGCUUAGCAUUGAGUUUUGGUAUUGUCUGUACAGGAUAGGUGGGAGACUAGGAAACCAGGGCGUCAGCCUUGGUGGAGUCAACCUUGGGAUACCACCCUGACAGUACUGAAAUUCUAACUGGCGGCCAUGAAUCUGGUCACAGGACAUUGUUAGGUGGGCAGUUUGACUGGGGCGGUCGCCUCCUAAAAAGUAACGGAGGCGCCCAAAGGUUCCCUCAGAACGGUCGGAAAUCGUUCGAAGAGUGCAAAGGCAGAAGGGAGCCUGACUGCGACACCCACAAGUGGAGCAGGGACGAAAGUCGGGCUUAGUGAUCCGGUGGUACCUCGUGGGAGGGCCAUCGCUCAACGGAUAAAAGCUACCUCGGGGAUAACAGGCUGAUCUCCCCCAAGAGUCCACAUCGACGGGGAGGUUUGGCACCUCGAUGUCGGCUCGUCGCAUCCUGGGGCUGAAGUAGGUCCCAAGGGUUGGGCUGUUCGCCCAUUAAAGCGGCACGCGAGCUGGGUUCAGAACGUCGUGAGACAGUUCGGUCCCUAUCCGUCGCGGGCGUAGGAAAUUUGAGAGGAGCUGUCCUUAGUACGAGAGGACCGGGAUGGACUGACCUCUGGUGUACCAGUUGUUCCGCCAGGAGCACAGCUGGGUAGCUAAGUCGGGAAUGGAUAAACGCUGAAAGCAUCUAAGCGUGAAGCCAACCUCAAGAUGAGAUUUCCCAUAGCGUAAGCUAGUAAGAUCCCUUGAAGAACACAAGGUUGAUAGGUCGGGGGUGUAAGCAUGGUAACAUGUUCAGCUGACCGAUACUAAUAGAUCGAGGGCUUGACC